UUAUAUGAUAGCUCAGUCGGUAGAGCAUGAGACUCCUAAUCUCAGGGUCAUGGAUUUGGGUGUAAGAUUCCUGCAUUGUAAA